UUUAUCGGAGAGUUUGAUCCUGGCUCAGGACGAACGCUGGCGGCGUGCCUAAUACAUGCAAGUCGAGCGGACAGAUGGGAGCUUGCUCCCUGAUGUCAGCGGCGGACGGGUGAGUAACACGUGGGUAACCUGCCUGUAAGACUGGGAUAACUCCGGGAAACCGGGGCUAAUACCGGAUGCUUAAUUGAACCGCAUGGUUCAAUUAUAAAAGGUGGCUUCGGCUAUCACUUACAGAUGGACCCGCGGCGCAUUAGCUAGUUGGUGAGGUAACGGCUCACCAAGGCAACGAUGCGUAGCCGACCUGAGAGGGUGAUCGGCCACACUGGGACUGAGACACGGCCCAGACUCCUACGGGAGGCAGCAGUAGGGAAUCUUCCGCAAUGGACGAAAGUCUGACGGAGCAACGCCGCGUGAGUGAUGAAGGUUUUCGGAU
rnacentral:rRNA from 1 species